rnacentral:lncRNA from 1 species
CUCCUUUUUUCUUAUUAGUAUUUUUUCAGACUUUUCUCCUCAUUCUCAUUUUUCAAAAAGUUUGACUAAGAUCUGUCCUUUGUCUAUAACAUGACAGGGUUGCUGAGCUACUUGGCUCUGUGUGUGUCCUAGCAGUUUUUUCGGUUUGUUUGUUUGUUUUUCGUUUGCUUUUUAAGGCCACACCCGCGGCAUAUGGAGGUUCCCAGGCUAGGGGUUGAGUCAGAGCUGUAGCUGCUGGUCUACACCACAGCCACAGCAACGUCGGAUCCAAGCCACGUCUGCGACCUACACCACAGCUCACAGCAACGCCGGAUCCUUAACCCACUGAGCAAGGCCAGGGCUCGAACCCGCAACCUCAUGGUUCCUAGUCGGAUUCGUUAACCACUGAGGCACGGCAGGAACUCCUGCCCUUGCCAUUUGAGGGGAAGUGGCUGUGGUCUCUCUGAACAGCUGCCCCUUCCCUCUGUCCGUCCCCUGGGCUCCGGCUCAGGUCCGGAGACCGACCACUUGCUGUUCUUCCGCAGGACUUUUCCUCUUUGUGGUUCCGAAAAUGGGUCAUUUCUCUUGUCCUGUUUUCAAGGCGGUGAAGCCCUCCUCUGCGGCCCGUCUUUCGGGAGGCCUGUCGAGCGCAUUUUUCAUUUGGGUCCAGGGUUUUUUCAACACGAGGGUCUCCAUUUGUUUUCUUUCUGAAAUUUCCACUUCGCGGCCAGCAUCACCCCCACUUAGCGGCCUUCUUGACACUUGGCUGGCGAAUCCUUUCAGGGGAUCGUGCCUGAGACGUGCAGAGACAACUCGUCCCAUCUUGGCCUGGAACGUGCCGCGUUUGCUCCAGGAGGCGUUGCAGUCACUGCCGGGUCCUCAGCGCUGUGUGGACCUGUCUUCUCGGGCCCGGCCGCCAGCCAGAGCUGUGGCCGGUCCAGUUUUUCAGGAACC